AAAACAAAGGUGUCCUUGCCAAUAUUCUGUUUCCGUUUGACAAGCCCUGAGAUUUCUGAGGGGAAUCCACAAAAAUGGAAUCAGAUCACUCAUUUAUGCUGCGCACAAAUAGAAUUUAAAGGCCCAAUCUC
rnacentral:lncRNA from 1 species